AUUGAACGCUGGCGGCAGGCCUAACACAUGCAAGUCGAACGAGUGGCGGACGGGUGAGUAAUGUCUGGGAAACUGCCCGAUGGAGGGGGAUAACUACUGGAAACGGUAGCUAAUACCGCAUACCAUCGGAUGUGCCCAGAUGGGAUUAGCUAGUAGGGGGGGUAACGGCUCACCUAGGCGAAGAUCCCUAGCUGGUCUGAGAGGAUGACCAGCCACACUGGGACGGAGACACGGUCCAGACUCCUACGGGAGGCAGCAGUGGGGAAUAUUGCACAAUGGGCGCAAGCCUGAUGCAGCCAUGCCGCGUGUGUGAAGAAGGCCUUCGGGUUGUAAAGUACUUUCAGCGGGGAGGCGGUACCCGCAGAAGAAGCACCGGCUAACUCCGUGCCAGCAGCCGCGGUAAUAC
rnacentral:rRNA from 1 species